rnacentral:lncRNA from 1 species
CUGGGAUUCUGCUCCUCACUGCAGGCCUUGCGAUCUAUGCACCCCAGGCCCUGGGGAGCCGCCCGGAAGGAGCAUGAGCUAUUUUGACUUGGAAUGCGGCAAGCUAGGCCAAGGAAGUUGGAGCCAAGAGAUACAGUGUCCAGCAAGACACCCGAGAGAGAGCAUUUCCCUCCAAACCAGGCCUGUGAGGAACCAAAGAGGCAAGCAGCAUAGUGGAC